GUGCACCUUUGCCCGUAACGCUGCACGAUUAGAUGAGUCUUGGCCUCCGUGGUGUGCUUUCGCCCGAGAAGAAUUUCGGAAGCUGUGAACAUCAUGGAAACCGUGAAAGCGAAGCGCAAGGAUAACCAAGAAUCGAUGAAGGUUGAAAAGCAGUACGUCGCAACAGAUACUGAAAAACCGGAGGCGGCAGGUUGGGCGGGCUGGAGGACCGCGUGAUUAAUGUUUUGAGCCAGACCGCCCCAGGCUACGCGUCGGUGGAUUUUUUCGCGGA